AUGAGCGACGGUGGCGACUCCGUCUCCAGCGAUGACUGCAUCAACGACUGCCUUGAGGCGUGCUGCUGCGACUGCUUCUGGGAUGCCAUCUGCUUCCGCAUCCUCUGUGCUCUCGUGAUCGUCACCGUCCUCGCCGCCGUGGUCACCCUGCUCGUCUUCGCCUUCGUCCCCUGCCCCGUCCGCGUCAGCGUCGAGGACGCGGCCAUCUCCCGCCUCGGCCUCGCCGUCGAAAACGCCACGGCCACGGCGCUCGCCUACGACAUCUCGCUCGCCGUCGCCGUGCACAACGACAACUGGCUCAUGCGCGCCGUGCACACCGCGCCGCUCGACGCGGAGCUGCUCUUCGCCGGCGCGCGCUUCGCCCGCGUCCGUCUGGCGGCCGCAGGGGCCGUGGUCCGACCGGGGCGCAUGGAGGUGUACCAUGCCACGGCGGUGGCCGACAACACGAGCGUCGCGCUGGGGAACGCAGGGGUGGGGGAGUUCCUCAGGGAGAGCGCGGCGGGGGUGUUCCGGAUGGAGGUCAAGGUUGUCGGGCAGGUCAGGUACCGGCCGCACCACAAGCUGCACUGGCUCGACGCCAUCUGCCGGCUAGAGUUGGCUCUGUCAACGGCAACCUCGCCGGCGAUGUUCAAGAAGGUCAAGUGCGAUGUUCAGAAAGGCCAUUGA
rnacentral:rRNA from 1 species